rnacentral:misc_RNA from 1 species
GGAAUAUUGGACAAUGGGGGAAACCCUGAUCCAGCCAUGCCGCGUGAGUGACGAAGGCCUUAGGGUUGUAAAGCUCUUUUGGCGGGGACGAUAAUGACGGUACCCGCAGAAUAAGCCCCGGCUAACUUCGUGCCAGCAGCCGCGGUAAUACGAAGGGGGCUAGCGUUGUUCGGAAUCACUGGGCGUAAAGCGCACGUAGGCGGAUUUGUUAGUCAGGGGUGAAAUCCCGGGGCUCAACCCCGGAACUGCCUUUGAUACUGCAGAUCUUGAGUCCGAGAGAGGUGAGUGGAAUUCCUAGUGUAGAGGUGAAAUUCGUAGAUAUUAGGAAGAACACCAGUGGCGAAGGCGGCUCACUGGCUCGGAACUGACGCUGAGGUGCGAAAGCGUGGGGAGCAAACAGGA